rnacentral:rRNA from 1 species
GACGAACGCUGGCGGCGUGCUUAACACAUGCAAGUCGAACGGAAAGGCCCUGCUUUUGUGGGGUGCUCGAGUGGCGAACGGGUGAGUAACACGUGAGUAACCUGCCCUUGACUUUGGGAUAACUUCAGGAAACUGGGGCUAAUACCGGAUAGGAGCUCCUGCUCCAUGGUGGGGGUUGGAAAGUUUCGGCGGUUGGGGAUGGACUCGCGGCUUAUCAGCUUGUUGGUGGGGUAGUGGCUUACCAAGGCUUUGACGGGUAGCCGGCCUGAGAGGGUGACCGGCCACCUUGGGACUGAGAUACGGCCCAGUCGGCAACGGGAGGCAGCAGGGGGGAAUAUUGCACAGUGGGCGGAAGCCUGAUGCAGCGACGCCGCGUGCGGGAUGACGGCCUUCGGGGUGUAAACAGCUGUCGGCUGUGACGAAGCGUGAGUGACGGUAAUGGGUAAAGAAGCACCGGCUAACUACGUG